UACGGAGGGUGCGAGCGUUGUCCGGAAUCACUGGGCGUAAAGGGCGCGUAGGCGGCCUGAUAAGUAGGGGGUGAAAUCUUGCGGCUUAACCGCAAGGCUGCCUUCUAAACUGUCAGGCUAGAGCACAGUAGAGGCAGGUGGAAUUCCCGGUGUAGCGGUGGAAUGCGUAGAGAUCGGGAGGAACAUCAGUGGCGAAGGCGGCCAUCUGGGACAACACUGACGCUGAGGCACGAAAGCGUGGGGAGCAAACAGG
rnacentral:rRNA from 1 species